rnacentral:rRNA from 1 species
UAUAAUUGUCAGCUAAGUGGCGCACGGGUGAGUAAUGUAUAGAUAACCUGCCCUUAAGAAAGGAAUAACAGUUGGAAACGACUGCUAAUGCCCUAUAUGCCUUUAAUACAUAAGUAUGCAAGGGAAACGCUUUAGUGCUUAAGGAUGGGUCUGUAUGGUAUCAGCUUGUUGGUGAGGUAAUGGCUCACCAAGGCUAUGACGCCUAACUGGUUUGAGAGGAUGAUCAGUCACACUGGAACUGAGACACGGUCCAGACUCCUACGGGAGGCAGCAGUGGGGAAUAUUGCACAAUGGGGGAAACCCUGAUGCAGCAACGCCGCGUGGAGGAUGACACAUUUCGGUGCGUAAACUCCUUUUAUAUAGGAAGAUAAUGACGGUACUAUAUGAAUAAGCACCGGCUAACUCCGUGCCAGCAGCCGCGGUAAUACGGAGGGUGCAAGCGUUACUCGGAAUCACUGGGCGUAAAGAGCGUGUAGGCGGGUAUAUAAGUCAGAAGUGAAAUCCAAUAGCUCAACUAUUGAACUGCUUUUGAAACUGUAUACCUAGAAUGUGGGAGAGGUAGAUGGAAUUUCUGGUGUAGGGGUAAAAUCCGUAGAGAUCAGAAGGAAUACCGAUUGCGAAGGCGAUCUACUGGAACAUUAUUGACGCUGAGACGCGAAAGCGUGGGGAGCAAACAGGAUUAGAUACCCUGGUAGUCCACGCCCUAAACGAUGUACACUAGUUGUUGUGAGGCUCGACCUUGCAGUAAUGCAGUUAACACAUUAAGUGUACCGCCUGGGGAGUACGGUCGCAAGAUUAAAA